rnacentral:rRNA from 1 species
AGCUCCAAUAGCGUAUACUAAAGUUGUUGCAGUUAAAAAGCUCGUAGUUGGAUUUCUGCGGGGACGGAGCGGCCGGUCGCAACUUGCGACUCGAGCUAGCGCUUUCCCCGCAUCCUGCCGCGAACCGUGCUACCAUUAGUUUGGUGGCGCUGGGGAUCGGCUCGAUUACUUUGAGAAAAAUAGAGUGUUCAAAGCAGGCCACACGCCUUGAAUAAGUUAGCAUGGAAUAAUGACUAAGGACUUUUGGUUCUUUUCGUUGGUGUUCGGGACUGAAGUAAUGAUUGAUAGGGACAGUUGGGGGCGGUCCGUAUUCCAAAGCGAGAGGUGAAAUUCUUAGACCUUCGGAAGACGAACAGCUGCGAAAGCGUUCCGCAAGGAUGUUCCC